rnacentral:rRNA from 1 species
GACGAACCGUGCGAACGUUAUUCGGAAUCACUGGGCUUAAAGGGCGCGUAGGCGGACCGGAAAGUCAGGGGUGAAAGCCUCCAGCCCAACUGGAGAAGCGCCUUUGAUACUGCCGGUCUCGAGGGGUGCAGGGGCAUGCGGAACUCAGGGUGGAGCGGUGAAAUGCGUAGAUAUCGUAAGGAAGACCAGUGGCGAAGGCGGGUCUCUGGACAGUUCCUGACGCUGAGGCACGAAGGUCAGGGGAGCAAACGGG